CCCUUAGAUGUCCUGGGCCGCACGCGCGUUACACUGAUGCAUUCAACGAGCUUAUAACCUUGGCCGAGAGGCCUGGGCAAUCUUGUUAACGUGCAUCGUGAUAGGGAUAGAUUAUUGAAAUUAUUAAUCUUGAACGAGGAAUUCCUAGUAAACGCAGAUCAUCAAUCUGCAUUGAUUACGUCCCUGCCCUUUGUACACACCGCCAGUCGCACCUACCGAUUGGAUGGUCCGGUGAAGCCUCGGGAUUGUGGUUCUUGCCGCUUUAUUGUGGCGUGACCGCGAGAACUUGUCUAAACCUUAUCAUCUAGAGGAAGGUGAAGUCGUAACA
rnacentral:rRNA from 1 species